CGGCCCUGACUCUAGGGGGUUUGGAAUAGAUGCCCCUGGGGUAGAAGGAUCUUUCCCUGCUGCAUUCCUGUGUGGCCUUUUUCUUGGCCAGAGCAGGGCAGACUCCAUCUUGGCCACAAGGGCGCUAAACAAAUCUACAGAUGUCCUCUGCAAACACUUAUUCCCGGCUAUCUACUGGGAUUAUUAUUGCUAAAGAUUCAAACACACAUGCAAACCCUAUAUAUUCUAUUUCUUCAGGUGGAAUACACAACAGAAUAUAAUUAUAAAUUACAAGCUCUUUAUUUUUGUGUACUAUAAAACACAUCCGUAUAAUUAAAUCAAGGUUGAAAGUCCUUUGCCUAGGAGAUUCAUUUAAAACUCUAUGAUAAAAAGAAGAACCUUGAGAAUUCAAUAUACUGAUGUGUAGAUAACACCUCAGCACAUGUCAGUGAGCAGGUCAUUUCCUUUCUGAUGCCGAUGCAAGAGCUCUCUCUACACUAGAAGCUUUUCCUGUAUCUUCUUGCCAUAUUAGCCCAGAUCCUCCAAGGUAUUCAGCCAUAAUGGGAGUGAAUGGCCUAAAGACCUUUGAGGAUCCGGGCUGCUAUCACUUUGAUUCUGUUUCCCAUCAGUAGAGUCAGGUUGUGAAAAUGAGAAGUCGCUGACUAAGGCUGGGAGAGACCUAACUCCUCCCUGGGCUGCUGGUGGGCUCUGCCAAAGUGCCUGGGAUGGCCCCACAGUGCUGGGGAUGAAGGAAGUCAGGGGGGACUUGGUACUAGAGCCUGAGCAGCAGGGAUGGGGGCAAGCUUGGCACAUUGCAGAAGCAGGUGCGGGCAGGCUCUUCAAAUCUGGGGGACUAGCGUCAUUUCACUAACAUGGGCAGCGUGACCUCCCUGUAACUAGGGUGUGCAUCUCGGAGGCCCUUUGAAUCUCUUGACCUCGUGCUGUCUUCACAGACUGAUGCGAACGACCGCCCUGUAAUCAGGGAUCGGGUCUUUGCCCUCUAGUCUCUUGGCACUUGGCCAAAUGCAGCCACUGCCCUGAAUGAGCACCCUGUAAACAGGGUACAGGUCUCAUCUGCUACUAUUUAUGGUGCCCCCAUGAGACUGUGUCCAGAGUUCCGGCCCUUCAUACAGCGCUUCCAACUUGCCUGGAAUUCUGCAGCCUAGUCUCCUGCAUUGUACUCACUUCUUGGACUCUUGGAGACCUGACAUGCUAUUGGUGGCAUCAUGAAGCACAAGUGGAGAAGAAGGAAGUGUCAGUACCAUGGCAUAACUGUGAAUCUGAAAUGCAUGGACCUUAAACACUCAAUUUGUAUAGAAUUAUAACUUCCUAUUAUUAAGAAAUCAUCAUUUCCUACUGGAAGUGCAAAGAUGUGACUUAAGGGAAGGUAUACAUUUGAAUCCUCCACUCCCCUCCAAUUCUCCCCCCAAAACUCUUCAAAUAAAGUUAAGGUUCAGAAAAUUAACAUUUACUCCAGGUAACGCCUAACUUGUGUAUUUCUCACACAUUUCUAAAAGGAAGCAAACAAAACUAAAUGUUUUGGCAACUGGCAGUUACUCUCCGCACUUCACAACUUUCAAACACCUGCUCUACUUAAACGGUCACACCAACCAAAGUGUACCACACAUUCAAAAUUAACUUUGCACCUAUUGUGUCAGAAGUGAGAGUGGUUUUAGUAGUUGUGUCCAUUGGUGGAAGUGGCAGUCGUGGUGUUUUAGUAGUCUUUUACGCUUAUUGAAUUCAAAGGAUGAUGAUGUGGAUGUUUUAGGUAGGUAUUUUUCUGUUAAGUCUUGGUAUUUGGGUAGAGGUGCAGUAUUUUGUGAUUAUGACUGUUUUUCUGGUAUUGGUUUAGUGUGAAUUGUUGGCAAUUUUAGAUGUUUUUGUAUCCGUACAUUAGUAGAUGUAUUUAGAGGGCAAAGCUGAGGUUGCCUGUUUGGUGCAAUUUAAUUGGUGUGAAAGUUAAUUUCGGGUAGGUGUUUGAAAGCACUGAGGUUUGAAUUUUUAGCUCAACAGGGAUGCAGGACCCACCUGGCUACCUCAGUUCUUACUGUCAUUCCUAAUUCCAAAAUCUUGGAUGAAGAUGACCAGGCAGAAUAAAGAUAUCUCCAGAGACUUUCAAGAGGGUAGCAUUUCUGCAGCUUUAGGGGAUCCCUUAAACCUUAUUGAGCUUUUCAAAGUGUAAUAAUUGUGGGAAACUUCUACUUCUGCCAAUUCCGUGUUGAACAAUGACCUGUAUUAAAGGACUUACACUGGGUAGUUAAUUCUGUUCUGUAUUAAGAUGAUUUUGCUAAAAUCGCCGCUUUCUGAUGUGUGAAAUGAAUGAUCUAGCUCUGAUUAUACCUAUUUGAUAAAAGUGUGAUAACGACCCCAUGUUAAAUGCAUGGAUUGAACUUUGAUUGUCGUAUCACAUUGCUUUGCUUUCUGUAACUCCUUAUUUAUGAAUGUAUUUGUUACUAUUUAUGUAAUUCAAUUAAUAAAAUGUAU